AGAAUCAACGCUGGCGGCGUGCCUAACACAUGCAAGUCGAACGAGAAAGUGGAGCAAUCCAUGAGUAAAGUGGCGCACGGGUGAGUAACACGUGACUAACCUACCCUGGAGUGGGGGAUAACUGAGGGAAACCUUAGCUAAUACCGCAUAACACCUACGGGUCAAAGGAGCAAUUCGCUUUGGGAGGGGGUCGCGGCCGAUUAGUUAGUUGGCGGGGUAAUGGCCCACCAAGACAGUGAUCGGUA
rnacentral:rRNA from 1 species